AGUUGCAACACCCCCGUGGGUUGGGUGCAGGUUUGAAAGAGCCGGCACAGUGAAUCCACUGCAACU
rnacentral:sRNA from 18 species